AUUCAGUUGAUGAGUCUGAAAUAGGACGAAACGUAAGUUCUGGAU
rfam:Schistosoma curassoni strain Dakar, Senegal genome assembly, scaffold: SCTD_contig0001246